GGACACUUGUGACAUGGCUGUCUGGCUUUUUUAAUAGGUGUGACACUUCAUGCAUUAAUUCACCAUGAGAAAGCAUCCAUAUGGUUGGAGUGAGCUGGACAUGGAGGUUUGCAGCAUUGCCCUUGUACAGCAUGACCUGGCAGUACCAUUUCCUUAAGGAAAGCAAGUAAAAGAAGACCAAGAAGGAAAUUUCAGGCUAUGGAAACAAUGUUAGACAAAAAGCAAAUUGGAGCAAUUUUCUUCUUUGAGUUCAAAAUGGGUGGUAAGGCAGCAGAGACAGCUUGCCACACCAACAAGGCAUUUGGCCCAGGAACUGUCAAUGAACGUACAGUCUAGUGGUGGUCCGAGAAGCUUCACAAAGCAGACGAGAGCUAUGAAGAUGAGGAGCGGAGCAGCAGCCAUUGGAAGUUGACAAUGACCCAUGGAAAGCACUCAAAGCUGAUGCUUUUACAACUAUACAAGCAGUUCCCAAAGAACUCAACGUUGACCAUUCCACGGUUGUUUGGCAUUUGAAGUAAUUUGGAAAGGUGAAAAAGCUCAGUAAGUGGAUGCCUCAUGAGCUGAUCAAAAAUAAAAAAAAGUCGUCGUUUUGCUGUGUCACCUUCUCUUAGUCUAUGCAACAACAACAAACCAUUUAUUGAUUGGAUUGUGACAUGAUGAAUAGCGGAUUUUAUACAACAAGUGGUGACAACCGGGUCAGUGGGUGGACUGAGAAGAACCUCCAAGGCAAUUCCCAAAGCCAAACUUGCACCAAAAAAGUCCACGGUCACCAGUGGUCUGCUGCCGGUCUGACCCACUACAGCUUUCUGAAUCCCGGUGAAACCAUUCCAUCAGAGAAGGAUGCUCAGCAAAUCCAUGAGAUGCGCCAAAUACUGCAGCACCUGCAGCCGGCAUCGGCCAACAGAAAGGGCCCAAUUCUUCUCCACGACAGCACCUGAACACACAUCGCACAACCAGCACUUCAAAAGUAGAACAAACUGGGCUACGAAGUUUUGCCUCAUCUGCCAUAUUCACCUGACCUCUCUCCAACUGAGUACCACUUCUUCAAGGAUCUCAACUUUUUGCAGGGAAAACACUUCUACAGCCAGGAAGAUGCACAAAAUGCUUUCCAAGAGUUCAUCAAAUCCCCAAAACAUGAAUUUUUAUGCUACAAGAAUAAGAAACCUUAUUUUUGGCAAAAAUGUGUUGAUUGUAAUGUUUCCUAUAAAGACAAGAGUUUCCUAUAGAGAGAAGAGUUCAUCAAAUCCCCCAAACAUGGAAUUCUAUGCUACAAGAAUAAGAAACCUUAUUUUUGGCAAAAAUGUGUUGAUUGUAAUGUUUCCUAUAAAGACAUGUUUGAGCCUAGGUAUAACAAUCUGAAAUCCACUGUCCAAAACCUUAUUACUUUUGCACCAAUCUAAUAAAACUGAAAAAAACUCCCUUA